rnacentral:lncRNA from 1 species
AUCUGUCUAAUACAUAGGAAAUCCAUAUUCCUAAAAUCAAUAUCCCUGCGCUUGGGUGUAAUAAGCAGGAUUGCCUUAGAAGGCUGGUUGUUGCGUGUGUCAUUACCCAGCAAUGUUGAAGCAAAGCAUAGCAACAUGCAUAUGGAAGAAAUCUACAGGGGCAGCCGGCAGCAGUUUGGCUAAAUUCUGUGGUCGAAGAAGAGUAAUGAAUAUGACCAAAUCCAUGAAUUAAAGCUGUUUGUUAGCGGACUCCCCGGCCCCUUAUAGUCUAAGCUAUAAUAAGCUUUAUCAUCAGUUUGGCAUCUGCUCAAUCAGCACCAGCAACAAGAUUGUGAUGCACAGUAAAUGAUUCAGAUUUAGGUCUAUUC